rnacentral:rRNA from 1 species
UAGGCCUACGGGGGGCAGCAGUGGGGAAUAUUGGGCAAUGGGGGAAACCCUGACCCAGCGACGCCGCGUGAGGGAAGAAGGUUUUCGGAUCGUAAACCUCUGUCAGCAGGGAAGAACGGUCACUGUGCUAAUCAGCAGUGAAUUGACGGUACCUGCAAAGGAAGCACCGGCUAACUCCGUGCCAGCAGCCGCGGUAAUACGGAGGGUGCGAGCGUUAAUCGGAAUUACUGGGCGUAAAGCGCUCGUAGGCGGUAUGUCAAGUCA